UAAAUCUUCAAUUAUGGACGGAGUUUUACUUGCAGAGCGUCAACUACCACUACCAGAAGAAAAGGUUUCGGAGGUUCAAUGCAAAACAAACAUUACUCCGCAAUGUCAGUGCAUUUGCAGAAGACUUUUUUCAGAACUUGCAUCACGAGUCUGAUGAACAUGAUUCUUCUUCAAGCCAAGGUAGUUCGUGGUUUCAACGGGAUUUUAGGUCUUAUGCACCCAAUUCAAGCAGAUUAAGGAAUAAAGGACACCGAAAA